CUUCCUCCUACCGCUUCCGUCAGUUAUUGCGCGUCAUGACUAUAGCACGAAAGUUGGCGUUGGCGGGCGGCUCAACAAUCGAUCGUGGCUCUCUAUCUCCCGUGUGUUAUUUUUUAGUUUUGCGAUGGACAUCCUUUAAGAUGUGAGCGGGAUGCAGGACGGACACCAGAGCGGUGAAUUAUGCCGUUGCCAUGAGAAUUCAGGGUGGCCACAGAGAUGGAGAGUCCUUCUAAGAUUGAGAGGCGCCAGGCGUGGGCAAGCAGCCGUCGCAAGUUUACCGCAAGAGAUGCAGAACACCGCAGCCCAACAGCAGAACACCAGCCUCAUUUCUCUCUCCAAGAUGAUGUCUUUGUGGAUGGAUGCUCUGCUGGAAAGAUUGAAACCUGGCUUCAAGGUUGUGGGAAUGAAGCCACUCCUGCCAAAAGCAGUCACCUAACAAUAGGUA
rnacentral:lncRNA from 1 species